rnacentral:tRNA from 1 species
GUUCUCGUAGUGUAGCGGUUAUCACAUCUGCUUUACACGCAGAAGGUCCCUGGUUCGAGACCAGGCGGGAACA